rnacentral:rRNA from 1 species
CUACGGGGGGCUCCAGUGGGGAAUAUUGGACAAUGGGGGAAACCCUGAUCCAGCAAUGCCGCGUGUGUGAAGAAGGCCUGCGGGUUGUAAAGCACUUUCGGUUGGGAGGACUGCUUCUAGCACUAAUAUUGUUGGAAGUUGACGUUACCUUCAGAAGAAGCACCGGCUAACUCCGUGCCAGCAGCCGCGGUAAUACGGAGGGUGCAAGCGUAAUCGGAAUUACUGGGCGUAAAGCGCGCGUAGGCGGCUAGAUCAGUCGGGUGUGAAAGCCCCGGGCUUAACCUGGGAACUGCAUCCGAUACUGUCUAGCUUGAGUACAGGAGAGGAGAGUGGAAUUCCACAUGUAGCGGUGAGAUGCGUAGAUAUGUGGAGGAACACCAAUGGCGAAGGCAGCUCUCUGGCCUGAUACUGACGCUGAGGUGCGAAAGCGUGGGGAGCAAACAGGAUUAGAUACCCCGGUAGUC